ncrna:Nicotiana tabacum cultivar TN90 Ntab-TN90_scaffold3082, whole genome shotgun sequence
AUGCCAUGGUGUGGACACUUCACUAUCAUACCCUUGAACCUCUCCCAGGUUUCUUGCAAGGAUUCGGUUGGUUUCUGCCUGAACUGCAAUAUCUCAUCAAUCUGCCU